UUUUGCUUGCAAACUAAAGAUGGCGACCGGCGCACGGGUGAGUAACACGUAUCCAACCUGCCGAUAACUCGGGGAUAGCCUUUCGAAAGAAAGAUUAAUAUCCGAUAGUAUAUUAAAACCGCGUGGUUUUACUAUUAAAGAAUUUCGGUUAUCGAUGGGGAUGCGUUCCAUUAGUUUGUUGGCGGGGUAACGGCCCACCAAGACUACGAUGGAUAGGGGUUCUGAGAGGAAGGUCCCCCACAUUGGAACUGAGACACGGUCCAA
rnacentral:rRNA from 1 species